ACGGCUCAGUAACACGUGGACAACCUACCCUGAGGUCGGGGAUAAACCCGGGAAACUGGGUAUAAUACCCGAUAGAUCUAGAUCGCUGGAAUGCUUUUAGGUCUAAAGUUCCGACGCCUCAGGAUGGGUCUGCGGCCUAUCAGGGUAGUAGUGGGUGUAAAGUACCUACUAGCCUACGACGGGUACGGGUUGUGAGAGCAAGAGCCCGGAGAUGGAUUCUGAGACACGAAUCCAGGCCCUACGGGGUGCAGCAGGCGCGAAACCUUUACAAUGCUGGCAACAGCGAUAAGGGGACCUCGAGUGCUACGAUACAAUCGUGGCUGUCUAGUUGCCUAAAAAGCAAUUGAUAGCAAGGGCCGGGCAAGACCGGUGCCAGCCGCCGCGGUAACACGGGCGGCUCGAGUGGUAACCGCUAUUAUUGGGUCUAAAGGGUCUGUAGCCGGCUUAGUUAGUCUCUUGAGAAAUCUGGCCGCUCAACGGUCAGGCGUUCAGGGGAUACUGCUAAAGCUCGAGACCGGGAGAGGUGAGAGGUACUUCAGGGGUAGGGGUGAAAUCUUGUAAUCCUUGAAGGACCACCAGUGGCGAAGGCGUCUCACCAGAACGGAUCUGACGGCAAGGGACGAAAGCUAGGGGCACGAACCGGAUUAGAUACCCGGGUAGUCCUAGCCGUAAACGAUACUCGCUAGGUGUCGGCCACGGUGCGACCGUGGUCGGUGCCGUAGGGAAGCCGUGAAGCGAGCCACCUGGGAAGUACGGCCGCAAGGCUGAAACUUAAAGGAAUUGGCGGGGGAGCAC
rnacentral:rRNA from 1 species